rnacentral:rRNA from 1 species
UGGUGGAGUGAUUUGUCUGGUUAAUUCCGUUAACGAACGAGACCUCGACCUGCUAAAUAGUACUAGUUAUCCUUGGAUAAUCUAGGCACUUCUUAGAGGGACUAUCGGCGGUGUACCCGAUGGAAGUUCGAGGCAAUAACA